GCUAAUACCGGAUAAUAACAGAUGAUGCCUAUCAACUGUUUAAAGAUGUUCUGCUAUCACUCUUGGGAUGGACCUGCGGUGCAUUAGCUAGUUGGUAGGGGUAACGGGCCUACCAAGGCGAUGAUGCAUAGCCCGAGUUGAGAGACUGAUCGGGCCACAUUGGGACUGAGACACGGGCCCAAACUCCUACGGGAGGCAGCAGUAGGGGAAUCUUCCACAAUGGACGCAAAGUCUGGUGGAGCAAACGCCGCGUGAGUGAAGAAGGGUUUCGGCUCGUAAAAAGCUCUGUUGUUGGUGAAGAAGGACAGGGGUAGUAACUGACCCUUUGUUUGACGGUAAUCAAUUAGAAAGUCACGGGCUAACUACGUGCCAGCAGCCGCGGUAAAU
rnacentral:rRNA from 1 species